ACCAGCUGCAUGGAUCCCAGCUGACUCGGUGGACACAGAAGCGGCGCCUGCUGGUUUCUGCCAUUUAUGCUUCAUCCUACACUAGGAGAGGUGCGCCCGCCGAGGGGAUGGGCCAGGCAGAUUGUGGGUCACACUGGACCCACAGCAUGUCAGGAACUGGGACCAGUUCUCGGUCAUCGCUGGGGAGAACCGUGACUGAGACAGACCCUCCGCCAGGUCUGGAGCAAGUCAGCCAGGAUCCUCCAGGCUCAAGAAUCUCAGUGGCACCAGCAAGCUAUUGGAGCUGGGCCUGCUCUCCCCAUCUACUCCCAAGUGGGGACUGGAACCCAGGGAGGAUGUGGCACCGGACAGAGGCUUCCAAUGGAGGCAACAGCUUGGUCCACCCACAUGGCGGCAGAUCCACGCAUCUCCCUGGACCUUCCGUGUCUGAGCGUCCAUCUGGGAGCCUCCACCAAGGGGCAUGAGAGAACAGAAGCGGAGGAAGACCCUGAGAGUUGGC
rnacentral:lncRNA from 1 species